rnacentral:rRNA from 1 species
UAGUCCACGCUGUAAACGAUGUCGACUUGGAGGUUGUUCCCUUGAGGAGUGGCUUCCGGAGCUAACGCGUUAAGUCGACCGCCUGGGGAGUACGGCCGCAAGGUUAAAACUCAAAUGAAUUGACGGGGGCCCGCACAAGCGGUGGAGCAUGUGGUUUAAUUCGAUGCAACGCGAAGAACCUUACCUACUCUUGACAUCCAGAGAACUUAGCAGAGAUGCUUUGGUGCCUUCGGGAACUCUGAGACAGGUGCUGCAUGGCUGUCGUCAGCUCGUGUUGUGAAAUGUUGGGUUAAGUCCCGCAACGAGCGCAACCCUUAUCCUUUGUUGCCAGCGGUUCGGUCGGGAACUCAAAGGAGACUGCCAGUGAUAAACUGGAGGAAGGUGGGGAUGACGUCAAGUCAUCAUGGCCCUUACGAGUAGGGCUACACACGUGCUACAAUGGCAUAUACAAAGAGAAGCGACCUCGCGAGAGCAAGCGGACCUCAUAAAGUAUGUCGUAGUCCGGAUUGGAGUCUGCAACUCGACUCCAUGAAGUCGGAAUCGCUAGUAAUCGUAGAUCAGAAUGCUACGGUGAAUACGUUCCCGGGCCUUGUACACACCGCCCGUCACACCAUGGGAGUGGGUUGCAAAAGAAGUAGGUAGCUUAAC